rnacentral:rRNA from 1 species
AUACGGAGGAUGCGAGCGUUAUCCGGAUUUAUUGGGUUUAAAGGGUGCGUAGGCGGGAUUUUAAGUCAGCGGUGAAACGCAAGGGCUCAACCCUUGACCUGCCGUUGAAACUGGAGUUCUUGAAUGCGGAUGCUGUGGGAGGAAUGUGUGGUGUAGCGGUGAAAUGCAUAGAUAUCACACAGAACACCGAUUGCGAAGGCAUCUCACAAAUCCGUGAUUGACGCUGAGGCACGAAAGUGUGGGGAUCAAACAGGAUUAGAUACCCUGGUAGUCCACACUGUAAACGAUGAUAACUCGCUGUCGGCGAUACACAGUCGGUGGCCAAGCGAAAGCGAUAAGUCAUCCACCUGGGGAGUACGUCGGCAACGAUGAAACUCAAAUGAAUUGACGGGG